AGCAGCCGCGGUAAUUCCAGCUCCAAUAGUGUAUAUUAAAGUUGCUGUGAUUAAAACGCUCGUAGUUGAAUUAAAAUGCGUUAAGUAGUUGGAAACUGUACUCUGUAUAGUGGAAGGCUUACAAUAAAAGACGCUUAGGCGAAACUUACCUCUGGUAAGUUUCAUUACUUUGAAAAAAAUAGGGUGUUUAAAGCAAAUCUUAUGUUAAUGAAUAAUGAAGCAUGGGACAAUACUAAGGAGAUCUAUUUAUAGAUUUCGAGAAAAGGAUUAAGAGGAACAAUUGGGGUGAUUCAGAAAAUAACGGGAGAGGUGAAAAUCCAUGAUCGCUAUAAGAUGCACGAGAGCGAAAGCAUUUCACUCAAUUGCGUUCAUUAAUCAAGAACGAAAGUUA
rnacentral:rRNA from 1 species